AACUUUAUAUGAAGGGAAACUAUGAGAAAGCUGAAACACAGGCGCUAAACUACAAUAAAACCAAACAGAAAUACAUAAGGCUAAUUCAAAACUACCAAGAACUGAAUGUCAGAUCAGGACAGUCAAGCAACAAAACUACUUAAUUAUCCCAGAAAGUUAAUUCACUCUGAAGACUGAAGAAGUAACUUGGCACAUCCUCAGAAAGCCUGGGAUCACCUUUUCCAAUUAGUAAUACCAAGAUCACCUCACCCAGGAAGUAUCUUUGACAGAUGAAUGAAUGAAUCACCACAGUUGGCUCAUUUUUAUGUAUAGGAACAGCAGCUCUGCUCUGACCAUAGCAUGCUAAUCAUAUCAGAAUAAAUUGU